GACAGAGGGUGCAAACGUUGUUCGGAAUUACUGGGCGUAAAGCGUGUGUAGGCGGCCUCGUAGGUCGGAUGUGAAAGCCCUGGGCUCAACCCAGGAAGUGCAUUCGAAACCCCGAGGCUUGAGUAUCGGAGAGGUUGGUGGAAUUCUCGGUGUAGAGGUGAAAUUCGUAGAUAUCGAGAGGAACACCGGUGGCGAAGGCGGCCAACUGGACGAAUACUGACGCUGAGACACGAAAGCGUGGGGAGCAAACAGG
rnacentral:rRNA from 1 species